rnacentral:rRNA from 1 species
CCAAUAGCGUAUAUUAAAGUUGCUGCAGUUAAAAAGCUCGUAGUUGAAUUUCGGGACUAAUAUGUCGGUCGUGCCUCGGUACGUACUGGUAUUUUUGCUUUCUCCCUUCUGACGAACCUUGAUGUCAUUCAUUUGGUGUCUUGGGGCAUCAGGACUGUUACUUUGAAAAAAUUAGAGUGUUUAAAGCAGGCUCACGCUUGAAUACAUUAGCAUGGAAUAAUGAAAUAGGACGUUUGAUUCUAUUUUGUUGGUUUCUAGGAUUGACGUAAUGAUUAAUAGGGAUAGUUGGGGGCAUUAGUAUUCAAUUGUCAGAAGUGAAAUUCUUGGAUUUAUUGAAGACUAACUACUGCGAAAGCAUUUGCCAAGGAUGUUUUCAUUAAUCAAGAACGAAAGUUAGGGGAUCGAAGACGAUCAGAUACCGUCGUAGUCUUAACCAUAAACUAUGCCGACUAGGGAUCGGAUGAUGUUAAUUUUUUAAUGACUCAUUCGGCGCCUUACG